GGGGAAUAUUGCGCAAUGGGGGAAACCCUGACGCAGCAAUACCGCGUGAGUGAAGAAGGUUUUCGGAUCGUAAAGCUCUGUUAUUGGGGACGAAAAAAAUGACGGUACCUGAAUAAGAAGCCCCGGCUAACUACGUGCCAGCAGCCGCGGUAAUACGUAGGGGGCAAGCGUUAUCCGGAAUUACUGGGUGUAAAGGGAGAGUAGGCGGCAUGGUAAGUUAGAUGUGAAAGCCCGAGGCUUAACCUCGGGAUUGCAUUUAAAACUAUCAAGCUAGAGUACAGGAGAGGUAAGUGGAAUUCCUAGUGUAGCGGUGAAAUGCGUAGAUAUUAGGAAGAACACCAGUGGCGAAGGCGACUUACUGGACUGAAACUGACGCUGAGGCUCGAAAGCGUGGGGAGCGAACA
rnacentral:rRNA from 1 species